rnacentral:rRNA from 1 species
UGGCUUAGAAGCAGCCAUCAUUUAAAGAGUGCGUAAUAGCUCACUAGUCGAGUGACACUGCGCCGAAAAUGUACCGGGGCUAAACAUAUUACCGAAGCUGUGGAUUGUCCUUUGGACAAUGGUAGGAGAGCGUUCUAAGGGCGUUGAAGCAUGAUCGUAAGGACAUGUGGAGCGCUUAGAAGUGAGAAUGCCGGUGUGAGUAGCGAAAGACGGGUGAGAAUCCCGUCCACCGAUUGACUAAGGUUUCCAGAGGAAGGCUCGUCCGCUCUGGGUUAGUCGGGUCCUAAGCUGAGGCCGACAGGCGUAGGCGAUGGAUAACAGGUUGAUAUUCCUGUACCACCUAUAAUCGUUUUAAUCGAUGGGGGGACGCAGUAGGAUAGGCGAAGCGUGCGAUUGGAUUGCACGUCUAAGCAGUAAGGCUGAGUAUUAGGCAAAUCCGGUACUCGUUAAGGCUGAGC